ACGCUCGACACCUACGUGAGGCAGCAGUGGGGGAUAUUGCACAAUGGGGGAAACCCUGAUGCAGCAACGCCGCGUGAAGGAUGAAGGUUUUCGGAUUGUAAACUUCUGUUCUUAGUGACGAUAAUGACGGUAGCUAAGAAGAAAGCUCCGGCUAACUACGUGUCAGCAGCCGCGGUAAUCUGAGCGGGCUGGCAAGGC
rnacentral:rRNA from 1 species